rnacentral:tRNA from 1 species
GGCCUCGUAGUUCAAUGGAUAGAAUAGAAGUUUCCUAAACUUUAGAUACACCCGCCCGUCCCGAACCCUAUUUCACGAUUACACCAACUAUUUACGCAGGACGUUCGGGCGGGGGUUCGAUCCCUGUCGAGGCUA